UACGUAGGGUGCAAGCGUUGUCCGGAAUUAUUGGGCGUAAAGAGCUCGUAGGCGGUUUGUCGCGUCUGCUGUGAAAACCCGAGGCUCAACCUCGGGCCUGCAGUGGGUACGGGCAGACUAGAGUGCGGUAGGGGAGAUUGGAAUUCCUGGUGUAGCGGUGGAAUGCGCAGAUAUCAGGAGGAACACCAAUGGCGAAGGCAGAUCUCUGGGCCGUAACUGACGCUGAGGAACGAAAGCAUGGGGAGCGAACAGG
rnacentral:rRNA from 1 species